AGUGAACGCUGGCGGUAGGCCUAACACAUGCAAGUCGAACGGCAGCACAGUAAGAGCUUGCUCUUACGGGUGGCGAGUGGCGGACGGGUGAGGAAUACAUCGGAAUCUACUUUUUCGUGGGGGAUAACGUAGGGAAACUUACGCUAAUACCGCAUACGACCUACGGGUGAAAGCAGGGGAUCUUCGGACCUUGCGCGAAUGAAUGAGCCGAUGUCGGAUUAGCUAGUUGGCGGGGUAAAGGCCCACCAAGGCGACGAUCCGUAACUGGUCUGAGAGGAUGAUCAACCCAACUGGGACUGGGGACCCGUACAGACUCCUAAGGGAAGGCGCAGUAGGGAAUAAUGGACAAUGGGCGCAAGCCUGAUCCAGCCAUACCGCGUGAGUGAAGAAGGCCUUCGGGUUGUAAAGCCCUUUUGUUGGGAAAGAAAAGCAGCAGGUUAAUACCCCGCUGUUCUGACGGUACCCAAAGAAUAAGCACCGGCUAACUUCGUG
rnacentral:rRNA from 1 species